AUAGCAACGAAAAGGUCACAUCCGGCUAAGCCGAUCAAAUAUAUAAGAUAACUAGAAAAUAAUAAAAACAUUAUCAACUAGGUUAAACCUAAAUUCAUAAAAAGUAGAUCUAUAGAUCUAGAUUUAAUAAUAGUGAAAAAGAAAAGAAUGUCUGGACUUACCAGAGAUAUUUUAAAAUGGCUUCAAAGUCUUGACCUUACUACGCAAAUCCGAAAUCCAAAAUGGGAUUUUUCAAAUGGAUAUUUAGUAGCAGAAAUAUUUUCUUGGUAUUAUCCUCAAGAGAUUCAGAUGCAUUCUUUUUAUAAUGGAGAAUCUUUGGCUCAAAAGAAUAAGAACUGGUACCUGCUGAAAAAUUUUAUUCUCAGAAAUUCUUUUGACAUUAAAAUGGAAGAUGUUGAUGGAACUAUUCACUGCAGAGAAGGCGCAGCAGUUCAGCUGGUGGAGAGCAUGUAUGAAAUUCUUACCAACAAAAGGGUGAAGAAAAUUUUGCCAGAAAUUGAAACAGACUACACAGACUUUGCUUAUCAACAGCGCCUGCCCAUGCAUGCCAGAUCCACAGCUUCUAAGGCAGUUAAAAACAACUUGAGGCUCACUGAAAUAUUGGCAGACCAAAAUAUUAUUACUUCUACAGCAAAGCCUGACUGGUUUGCUCAAAGAACAAUCCUAAAGGCUCAGAAAAUUAUAAAUGAUCACAUAGAUCAUCGCCGCCAGGAGAGGAUAGAGGAUCCAAAAAGAUUUGGCAUCAAGCCAUCACUUGGAGAUCGCUGUGUACGCAGAGCUGACUUGAGCCAAAAACUUUUUUCUGAGCCAAGUCAUUUAACUGUCACCUCAGAUCUGCAGUCUGAACUCGAGUGGAAACAAAUCUGGUCAAAAUAUCCAAAGAAAUGUGGACAGUUUCAUAAUUAUUGAACUGUAAUGGUUUAAUGUUAGAGUUGCUUUGAAUUUUUUUUUUUUCCUUGCCUCCUCAUUUUUAACACAAUAAUUUCAAACGCAUAAAAAGUAAGAAGUGAAACUGAGUCAAUGAAAGAAGAAACAAUUACAAGAGAGCCAAGUAUCCAGUUUAAGGAGAUUGAUGUCAAACAGAUGGAUAAGUCUACAUUCUAUCAACUACCUGUUCAGAGUUAUUGAAAUGUUUUUUUUAGUACUUGAUAAAUUGAUUUUGUUGAAUGACAAUCCACCAUACCAAUUAUUGUUUCAGUGAUGUCUGACAAAACCAGUCAUAUAAUGAAAAAAAAAAAAAAAAUUAAAUUUAAACUGUUCUCUUAACACUGUUAAUUUAUGGUGGUCUAAUUGUGUAUCAUGUAACUACCUGACAGAAUUUAAGCUUGACUCUGUGAAAGCAGAUAUUUAAUUAUUUUUUUUUUAGGAUUUUCGCAGCAUCUUAAGUCCAUAUAGGUAUCUGAUUUUUGGUGGUGAAAGUAAACGAUUCAUGAGCUUACUACAUCAUUGACCACAGAAACAGAUGAACUUUACAUAAUCUACAUAUCAAACGGAACCUAUUUUUUAAAAAUUGUGGCUUUUAAGUAACAGAAGUGAUUAAUUAAAUAAUUAUUGGUCACAUUGUGAUUUUUUUUUAAUAGCUUUAGAUUUUUUCGCCUUAUUGUUUGUUAUCCACUGUGACACUUAUUUUUGUCACUUUAUCUAAUUUUUUUUUUACAAAGUCACUGGUUUUAUCAGACACACUAACAAAUACUUUGUUAUAAAUUUAUGCUUGUGGUGGAAAAUUAUUGGUUAAACUACACACAAAUAUUUUCUUUUAGGAGAUUUAUACAAUUUUUGUUUGUUUUACAAAUGAUAUCUCUUAAUACAAUUUUGGAAUACAUUAUAGGUUGAAUAAUGUUUGAAUCUAAAUUAUUUUUUCUUUAACCAACAAUUUUUUUUGUAAACCACUUAAGAAAAGUAAAUGUAAAAUUAUUUAGUGGUGAAACAAUCUUAACAAAUGGAAUAAACAGACUGAAGUGCCUAGUUCCAGGAAGUUAUACUUAGACCUUUAAAUAACUCUCAACACUUGUAACUUCAAAACAUCAUACAUUAAAUAUUCUAUUUGAAAAUUGC